CGCUGAUUCAGUCCAAUCUGCAUCCUCAGAGGUCACACAUUAUCUCAGGGACACGGACACACUCGGCGGUUAUUAACUGCGACCAGAUGCAGCUAUUUCGACCGUUUCCACCCACUCCCCCCUGAAUCCCCGCCACUAGCCGAGCAGCUUAAUCCAUCCCCUGUCAGUUAAGUAUUACUGCCUAAUGCUAUUCCUUAACAAGUGUGGAUCCUUCUGUAUAUAAACUCAAAUAAAGUACCCAUGAUGCAUGAGUCCCCUCAAUUUUUUCUUUUUCCUCUGGGGGGAAAAAAAAAAAAAAACUUCAUGCUUGAGUUUUUAGCAGCUCAUUUUAUAUGGACCUCUUAAGUGAAGGCAGGAUUUUCUGCUAAAAAAAGGUAAAAAGAAGUGGAUGAUCUGUAAGUUUGCAGAAAAAACACAUAUGUUUGGUCUGCAGAUGGCCUACAAAGGUGUUGUGAUUUAUUCCGCGUUGUGGCACAUUACGGCAGAACGUCAUAUAUCAAGCGGGGAUGGGUGUUCGGAUAAAUUGCUAGUAGAGCUGGAAAACUAGGUUCUGUUAUUUAGUCGGCUUCUCUCUAAAUCUAGUGGAUAGAAAUGGAUUUCCGUGUGCUGAGAAAGGCUAGACAGGUAUUAUGAAUAUUGGCAGUGAGAUAUAUUUUUGGGCCAAAUUGUAUUAACCGGUUUUAGUGGCAAUCAAUUCCGAUCAAUACAUUUUCAAAUGAUUCUGGAAUAAUUUACAAGCUGUCUGCUGAGCUAUUGCGGAUAGAUGGCCUUGUGUUUACUGGGAGGUUUGGACAAAAUGAUUUAAAAUGGGACUUGAACGAGUGGAGACGCUGACGGCACAAUUAUUGCUGGGACUGCUUGAUGAAGGUUCUGGAUAAGACGGUGUGGUUGUACUUUGUCUCAAAAAGUAGGAUUUUUUUUUUUUUUAAAUGUGUAAGAAUUUUCUAAAGGCUGAAAUAAGUCGAGCUUAUGUAGCAUUACAUGCAAAAACCAGACAGUUGUGUUGCAACUAUGACUUCAGAUGAUCAUCAAAGGGUAAAAAAGGCACUUUUAUAACAAAAAGAAAAUAAAAAUUAAAGUCAUGAGGUUAUUAAUGUUAUUUAUUUAUUUGUGACAUGACUCCUAGGUGUCCCCUUUUGACCUGCCCUCAAUUCAUUUCUCCCCCGCCCAGCCUGGUCACAGCUGCAUGUGACAAAUUAAAGAGAAUUUUUUUUUUUCCCAAAAUGACAGCCUUUCUAUUAGUUUUAUUUCCAUAGCAACCAUUCAAUUUUUUGGUCGUCUGGGGGUGACAAACAGGUCCAUGUAAUUUUUAGAGGAAUCAGCAAAAGUAAAUAUUUGGAUUUCCUUAGCAACAGUUUUUUUUUUUUUUGCCAAUUACACCCACAUUCCUUUGCACUUUUCAAUUUGCUUUAGUCAAUAAUAUAAUAAUAAUAAUUCAAUCGUCACAAUAUUCCAAUAAAAAAAGACCAAACAGUGGAGCGCCUUUAUCUAAGUUUGCCACGCUAACGACACUCAAACCAACUUUUUUUUUUUUUAACCCAAGUGGCUUCCCGAUGACACUCGAGGAGUCCGGCAGUGACAUAAAGAUAUAAAACCUCAACAGACUUCCCCCUGAACUCCUUAGUCUUUUAAAUAAAAAGGGUAAAACACACCAAGUUGGUUAGCUAGCUUAAUCUCUUUCUUUCAGUGAGCUUUAGCUACUUUUGUUACUGCGCCGCCAUCUUGCUGCGGUAACAGUGCUGAGUGUUGGGUUAGCUUCUUGCUAGCUUGACUAGCAUUACCACAUUUGGAUGAAGGUCCCAGAUACCCCUGCGAGCAAAAGGGUCCACUCCCGCUGUAGGUUCAUCCAAGAUGACGAUUUUUGAACCACCAACAAAAGCUAUAGCCACCGACAGCUUUCUCUGCAUGCCACCUGAAAAUUCAAAUAAGAAUGAACUAUGGCAGAACAAACUGGGGGCUUGUCCGGGAUCUGAGCUCAGUUCUUGACAUAAAGCAGAAAACAAAUAUCUUUCCAUCCAUUUUCUAAGCCUGUUUCAUUCCUGUUCGGGGUCUUGGUAUUACUGGAACCUAUUCAGCUACUGAAGGGCAAUGGCGGUACGGUUUACCAGUCCGUCACAGGGCCACACAGAACGACAAAAUAUUUUUUUCUGGUGAGUCGACACAUUUUGCCUUGAGAAUAAGAAAAAAAAACUACCUAGUUAUUCAUCAGUGUCAGGUAUCAAAUAUGAUGUGGACACAAUAUCAGAAAGUGAUUAUGGAAUAAACAUGUCAAGGUUUAUCCUUCUAUGUUUUAUUACCUUUUGCAUGGAGUAAGAUGACUUAUGUCUGGGAAGCAGAUACACAUUCCUGCCAUAAUUCCAGCCACCUCUCUCUUAGCUAGCUCUUCAAAAUGCAUCCAAUGUAGUGCUAAUGUAGUGGAAAAGUCAGCAUAGAUCAACCUUGAAAGUCAUAUUUCAGUGGUUUUGCUCACAAGCAACCCGUGACUGGGGACAAUUUAUCAAGUAGUGCCUGCUCAUGCACCCCAGACAAUGAAUUACAACCUAUGACACCC